GUUUGUCUAAUAGCGACGGGCUAUGUGCUUUUCACGUGCCGGGGAGAGAACGGCUGCUCGCAAUUCCUGCGAACAUGCUGCAACAGAACAAAACGCAUGAAUCUGAAACACUACCGGCGUCACAGUUAUGAAGUACCACGUGAUAGGCGUCAGAACCCAAGAGCGGUCAAUAUGAAUCAAUCGUUUUCUGUAAGAAAGCCUCCUCCACCUAAAGGUACGUUUGAAAUUUAUGUUUGAUUUUGUAAAAAAAUCAUUUAUUUAUUCG